CAGUCGCCGCGGUAACACGUAGGUGGCAAGCGUUGUCCGGAAUUAUUGGGCGUAAAGGGCUCGCAGGCGGUUUCUUAAGUCUGAUGUGAAAGCCCCCGGCUCAACCGGGGAGGGUCAUUGGAAACUGGGAAACUUGAGUGCAGAAGAGGAGAGUGGAAUUCCACGUGUAGCGGUGAAAUGCGUAGAGAUGUGGAGGAACACCAGUGGCGAAGGCGACUCUCUGGUCUGUAACUGACGCUGAGGAGCGAAAGCGUGGGGAGCGAACAGGAUUAGAUACCCGUGUAGUCCCUGUCUCUUAUAC
rnacentral:rRNA from 1 species